rnacentral:lncRNA from 1 species
GCAACAUCAUCCUUAAGUCCAGAUCAGCGAGGUUAGAGCAUCUAACUUGCAAGGUAAUAGAUCUGAUCUAUUAUUUAAUACAUACAUUAGAUGUAGCUAGUAUAGAAACAUGUUGAUAUGAUCAACAUGUAGUUCAUACUAUAUUUAUAUAUAUUUUAAUUUUUGAUUUAAUGCUAUGUAAUAAUCAUGUAAUAGGAUCUUAGAUCUAGGGAUUUUCUGAUCUUAAAAAAUAAAUUUUGAUUUAUUUUAGUCUUCCACUGUAUGAUCUUGAAAAAGUUUCAAGAUCUAACCCUGAAACCUUAGAUCUGGUUCC